UCAUAUUGCUUCUUUCUAAUGCCAAGAAAGAAGAGUAUAAGAACUUCC
rnacentral:miRNA from 1 species